rnacentral:rRNA from 1 species
GUGGGGAAUAUUGGGCAAUGGGCGAAAGCCUGACCCAGCAACGCCGCGUGAAGGAAGAAGGUCUUCGGAUCGUAAACUUCUAUCCUUGGUGAAGAUAAUGACGGUAGCCGAGAAGGAAGCCCCGGCUAACUACGUGCCAGCAGCCGCGGUAAUACGUAGGGGGCAAGCGUUGUCCGGAAUGAUUGGGCGUAAAGGGCGCGUAGGCGGCCUGGUAAGUCUGGAGUGAAAGUCCUGCUUUUAAGGUGGGAAUUGCUUUGGAUACUGUCGGGCUUGAGUGCAGGAGAGGUAAGUGGAAUUCCCGGUGUAGCGGUGAAAUGCGUAGAGAUCGGGAGGAACACCAGUGGCGAAGGCGACUUACUGGACUGUAACUGACGCUGAGGCGCGAAAGUGUGGGGAGCGAACGGGAUUAGAUACCCUGGUAGUCC